UUGGCAGUCAGGAUUCUUACCAUGGAGACGCAUUUAUGGAAUGCGCUGGAUUGGAAUUGAAUGUGUUACAUGAAUUCAUGGCUUCUAAAAUCCACACACACAUACUUCCACAACUGCCACCAUUACCACUGCUGUUAAGUGGACCCAGUUGUGGAGGAGAGGGGAAGGGUCAGCUCUUGGAAAACACAGACAAGAAACUGAUCAAGAAGGAGGAUGGUUUCCAAAGACCAGGAUGGCAGCUGUCCAAUGUAAUAAUCCCUAUAUCCUGAGGUUGGGUGAAUGCAGAGCUGGAAGAGAAAUGCUCAAAUCUGCUAACAGAAAUUUACCAUACCAGUUCCUCACCAAUCAGAUUGGCAAUUGCACCUCAUUAGUUUUCUAAUUAAACUGUAAGUGUAAUACAUACAUACAGAUUAUGUUUUUGAGCUACUGAAAUAUUAUAUUCAUUUUCCAAAAGGCUAGUCACAUUAAAUGAUUGAACUUG
rnacentral:lncRNA from 1 species